rnacentral:rRNA from 1 species
UUGUCUCAAAGAUUAAGCCAUGCAUGUCUCAGUACAAGCCAAAUUAGGGUGAAACCGCGAAAGGCUCAUUAAAUCAGUUAUGGUUCCUUAGAUCGUACCCACAUUUACUUGGAUAACUGUGGUAAUUCUAGAGCUAAUACAUGCAAACAGAGCUCCGACCGGAGACGGAAGGAGCGCUUUUAUUAGAUCAAAACCAAUCGGUGGCGGUCUCCGUCAUCGUCCAAUUUGGUGACUCUGAAUAACUUUUCGCUGAUCGCACGGUCUCGCACCGGCGACGCAUCUUUCAAAUGUCUGCCUUAUCAACUGUCGAUGGUAGGUUCUGCGCCUACCAUGGUUGUAACGGGUAACGGGGAAUCAGGGUUCGAUUCCGGAGAGGGAGCCUGAGAAACGGCUACCACAUCCAAGGAAGGCAGCAGGCGCGCAAAUUACCCACUCCCGGCACGGGGAGGUAGUGACGAAAAAUAACGAUACGGGACUCAUCCGAGGCCCCGUAAUCGGAAUGAGAACACUCUAAACCCUUUAACGAGGAUCAAUUGGAGGGCAAGUCUGGUGCCAGCAGCCGCGGUAAUUCCAGCUCCAAUAGCGUAUAUUAAAGUUGUUGCGGUUAAAAAGCUCGUAGUCGAAUCUGUGUCCCGCGCCGCCGGUUCAUCGUUCGCGGUGUUAACUGGCGUGCCGCGGGACGUCCUGCCGGUGGGCUUAGCCCGCGAGGGCGGCCCAACUCAAUCCCGCCGCGGUGCUCUUCAUUGAGUGUCGAGGUGGGCCGGCACGUUUACUUUGAACAAAUUAGAGUGCUUAAAGCAGGCCAAAACUUCGCCUGAAUACUGUGUGCAUGGAAUAAUGGAAUAGGACCUCGGUUCUAUUUUGUUGGUUUUCGGAACCCCGAGGUAAUGAUUAAUAGGAACGGAUGGGGGCAUUCGUAUUGCGACGUUAGAGGUGAAAUUCUUGGAUCGUCGCAAGACGGACAGAAGCGAAAGCAUUUGCCAAAAACGCUUUCAUUGAUCAAGAACGAAAGUUAGAGGUUCGAAGGCGAUCAGAUACCGCCCUAGUUCUAACCAUAAACGAUGCCAGCUAGCGAUCCGCCGACGUUCCUCCGAUGACUCGGCGGGCAGCUUCCGGGAAACCAAAGCUUUUGGGUUCCGGGGGAAGUAUGGUUGCAAAGCUGAAACUUAAAGGAAUUGACGGAAGGGCACCACCAGGAGUGGAGCCUGCGGCUUAAUU